rnacentral:lncRNA from 1 species
GGAGCGCGGGACGGGGCGGGGAGGCGUGGACGGGAGGAGGCGGAGGCCUGGGCGCGGGAGGGGAGGAGGCCGGGCCGGCCCCGGGAAGGCGCUGGCUGAGGCCGCCGGCAGUUUCUACCGUCGAAGGGCAGCGUGAACCUCGGCUUCUUCCAGCGCAGCCCGGGGCGCCCGGGGCCGAGAGCGGAAGUCCGAGGGGGCCGCACGGCGGAGGGUGGCCGAGCCCGGGCCCCGCGCGCUCCCGCCUCUCACGCGUGGGUUCGCGGCUCCGGAGCGUGGCGGAGCCGCGCUUUCUGUAGACAGCAGAGGCCCAGAGCGCGUCGCGGUUCCGAGGGACGUGGGACUUGAUGGAGCCAGAGAAGGAUAUGGCAAGCCAGAAUAUUCAUUGAUGUUGAACUCAAGAUCUUCCUCCUCCUUGGUAGAGGCUCCCAGAUACAAAAGAUACUGGGGGCUAUCCUGCUAGAAAGCAUAGUAAAGUCAGUUGUAGAGAUGACUGAAUAAUAACAUGGAGAGAAGACAAUCAAUUCUGCAAACAUGGCCUAAUGGGGGAGUCAUCACAGUUUUGUAGCCUUCAAAACUCAUGUUGUCAAUGUGACCAGAAUGGCCAGACCCUCAGGGGUGGAUUCAUCUAGCCAGACUUGCUGAAGACUCAUGAGUGAACAGAAUUCCAGUUCAUGAUGGAGACGUUUAUCUCUGAUGACCAAUAGACCCCAUGAUUAUUCUCCAGGACCCCCACUGCUAAAUCCUGGGUACCUGGGGAAUUAUGCUAGUCACCAGGAAGUUGUUUAGUGAUCCCUAAAUCAUGAAAGAGAAAUGGCUAAUGUCAUGGGUUCAAUUCUGUCUCUUCCAAAUUCAUAUGUUAAUGUCCUAACCACUAUUACCUCAGAAUGUGACCUUAUUUAGAAAUAGACUUGUAGCAGAUAUAAUUACAGUUGACCUUUGAACAAUGUGGGAAUUAGACAUGCCAAACUGCCUAAUGCAUAUAUAACUUCUAUUCCCCAAAAACUUAGCUACAAAUAGCCUACUGUUGACCCAAAGCCUUACCAAUAACAGAAAUAGUGGAUUAACACAUAUUUUGUAUGUUUUAUGAAUUACAUACAGUGAUCUUACAAUAAAGUAAGUUAGAAACUAUGUUAAGAAAAUCACAAGGAAAAUACAUUUAUAGUACUGUACUGUAUUUGUUGAUACUGUAAGUUUGUAUCACCUAUUUACAAGAUGAAUUGUCUGUCUGAAUUAGCAGCAACGGCAAUUGCAGACCUCGAUCUAUAGUGAAUAUCAAGCAAUUUGGCUUUUUGCUGUAAACUCAUGACUUUUCUCUGCUUCUUGGGAUCACUUCCAGCAUCACUAGUGGCACUUUGUAUGGGUCCCAUGGUGUUAGUCAAGGUUUAUAGUAUUGCACUAAACACAAUAAAAAAUAUGUGAGAACUGACAGAGAUCACUCUUGAGUGCGAUAUGCAAUUUACUGGAGAGAUGAACUGCUCAUGCAGAGAUGAGCAGCACACGGCAUUUUAAGUGGAUGCUCAUAAUACUAAGCUCGCUACAAUAACAACAGGAAGUGGCUAUGAAAUUAUUACAGUCAUACAAUAUUACUAUAGUUCAUUUUAUGCAGUUGUGAUUUAAUACUGCAUCUUUAUAUUUGUUUACAUUUCUCUCAACUUCGAAUGGCUCCCCAUACAAUCUGUGUUUGUAUAAGUUUUAAUACAUUUUAACUUUUUAUAAUUUGUGUAUAUUUUAUGGCAGUAAUAAAAUAGACUAGUAUCUACAUAUACUUUAUACAUAACACUUGU